rnacentral:rRNA from 1 species
GGGAAUAUGCCCUUCACUACGGAAUAGCCUCGGGAAACUGAGAGUAAUACCGUAUACGCCCUUUGGGGAAAGAUUUAUCGGUGAAGGAUUAGCCCGCGUCUGAUUAGAUAGUUGGUGGGGUAACGGCCUACCAAGUCGACGAUCAGUAGCUGGUUUGAGAGGAUGAUCAGCAACACUGGGACUGAGACACGGCCCAGACUCCUACGGGAGGCAGCAGUGGGGAAUCUUAGACAAUGGGCGCAAGUGAUCUAGCCAUGCCGCGUGAGUGACGAAGGCCUUAGGGUCGUAAAGCUCUUUCGCCAGGGAUGAUAAUGACAGUACCUGGUAAAGAAACCCCGGCUAACUCCGUGCCAGCAGCCGCGGUAAUACGGAGGGGGUUAGCGUUGUUCGGAAUUACUGGGCGUAAAGCGCGCGUAGGGGAUUGGAAAGUUGGGGGUGAAAUCCCGGGGCUCAACCCCGAACUGCCUCCAAAACUAUCAGUCUAGAGUUCGAGAGAGG